rnacentral:lncRNA from 1 species
UUACUAGUCCAUUUCACUAUGGCGAAAGCAUUCUCUGGAGUUCGCAAUCACAAAUCUAUCGAUCAAUGAUAGCAAUUACAAUGCGAGUACGUGAGAUUACGGUAAAAAUGAAAAAAAAAAACGAAGUGAAAAGGAAAACAAGACUCGUAAAUGAUAAUUGGGCUGGGUCGUUUCUCUAUUUCUAGGCCCAUUCCAGCCUUUGUGGGCUCAAUUGCCAAGGAAGUCUAACGAGUUCUGUUGGGCUGGAAGAGGUCAAAAUGAUAGGACGUAUGUUCCAGUCAAGCUUGAGAAGAGUAAUUUUAAUAUUUCUGAAAUGUUUAGCACAAAUCAAGGUUAAUGAUAAAAGGCUAUGAUCAAUAAAUAAUGAAUGGACGAGGUGGAAUGAUAGGUGGGGCCAAGUAGAAAAAAUCUUC